UACGUAGGGUGCGAGCGUUAAUCGGAAUUACUGGGCGUAAAGCGCACGUAGGCGGCUCAGUAAGUCGGGUGUGAAACCUCCAGGCUCAACCUGGAGACGCCACCUGAUACUGCUGUGGCUGGAGUCCGGUAGGGGAGCGUGGAAUUCCUGGUGUAGCGGUGAAAUGCGCAGAUAUCAGGAGGAACACCGAUUGCGAAGGCAGCUCGCUGGGACGCGACUGACGCUGAGACGCGAAAGCGUGGGGAGCAAACAGG
rnacentral:rRNA from 1 species